rnacentral:rRNA from 1 species
UGAGUAACACGUAUGCAAUCCACCUGUAACAGGGGGAUAACCCGGAGAAAUCCGGACUAAUACCCCAUAAUAUGGGCGCUCCGCAUGGAGAGUCCAUUAAAGAGAGCAAUCUUGGUUACAGACGAGCAUGCGCUCCAUUAGCCAGUUGGCGGGGUAACGGCCCACCAAGCGACGAUGGAUAGGGGUUCUGAGAGGAAGGUCCCCCACAUUGGAACUGAGACACGGUCCAA